AGCCCGUAGUGGUCCUUUGUCAAGUGCAGCCACAGGCUUACCUCUUACUGCAGCUGCAGAACAGUUGGAAAUGGCAGUCAGGGCUAGCACACCCAACAGUUCUCCACAGCGCAAAUGAGAAAACCUUUUCCUAGCUACAGUUGUGCUUUCAUAUUUGCUGAACUCAUAUGUGAUGAUCUACGUGCUCCGUUAGGUGUUUGCUCUCAAGCCCGUUGCACAAAAAAGGACACUGUCACCGAUGGGAAGAUGUGUGCCAAGUGGCUGGCAGCUGGCCAGGAUGUGCUUGAGUGCACCUGAGAUGGCAGCAGGAUCUGGUUGCUUAAGAAUCCAGCAGCAGGACAUUGAAGUAGCAGCAGCAUGACUCACACACAGUUGUGGUAGAUGACUACGCGCAGCUAUCUGCUUUGAAAAGAAUAUUUGAAACAUCCUUCAUCGUCUCUAAAUAUUGCUUUCUUCAGUAAAAAGAUUACUGCACAUCUAACCAUUCAAAAGUGAAUUUUCUAUGGAUCAGCAAACAUGAAAUCAAACAAGAUCUCACCAGAACAACAAGUGCAAAACCAUCAAUGUCUCUGAAGCUACAAUAAUCAACACAUCUGUCAGUUGUUCCAAGAAGUCAUAUAUUUCAUCAAGUCCAACAAGCACUACCAUAGGAAGUACAUGUGUGAAACUAAACUAAAGUGCUUCCGUUGUCAUUUAUCUGUUUAAAACACUUUUUUUCAACAAUAAAAUACCACGUAAAUCUU